UCUCCGUUGGUGAACCAGCGGAGGGAUCAUUACCGAGUUUACAACUCCCAAACCCCUAUGUGAACGUUACCAAACUGUUGCCUCGGCGGGAAAUUCAUGCCCCGGGCGCGUCGCAGCCCCGGACCAAGGCGCCCGCCGGAGGACCAACCAAAACUCUUUUGUAUGUCCCUCGCGGACUUUUAUAAUUCUGAACCAUCUCGGCGCCCCUAGCGGGCGUUUCGAAAAUGAAUCAAAACUUUCAACAACGGAUCUCUUGGUUCUGGCAUCGAUGAAGAGCGCAGC
rnacentral:misc_RNA from 1 species